CCUAUAGCUUAAUUGAAUAAAGCAUCGGUCUCCGAAGCCGAAGACUACGGGUUUGAAUCCCGUUAGG
rnacentral:tRNA from 1 species